GACGAACGCUGGCGGCGUGCCUAACACAUGCAAGUCGAGCGCCCUUCACUCAAGCUUGCUUGAGUGCGGGGAGCGGCGAACGGGUGAGUAACGCGUGGGUAACCUGCCCGGGAGACCGGGAUAACAGCUCGAAAGGGCUGCUAAUACCGGAUGAUCCCAGCGCUCAAAAGAGUGCUGGGCAAAGUGUUUAGCGCUCCCGGAUGGGCCCGCGUCCCAUUAGCUUGUUGGUGGGGUAAUGGCCUACCAAGGCGACGAUGGGUAGCCGGUCUGAGAGGAUGGUCGGCCACACUGGGACUGAGACACGGCCCAGACUCCUACGGGAGGCAGCAGUGGGGAAUUUGCGCAAUGGGGGAAACCCUGACGCAGCGACGCCGCGUGGGUGACGAAGGCCUUCGGGUUGUAAAGCCCUGUCGUGGGGGGAAGAUCGUGACGGUACCCCGGAGGAAGCCCCGGCUAACUACGUGCCAGCGAGCCGCGGUAAAAGUACUCUAU
rnacentral:rRNA from 1 species